CUUUACCCUGUUUCAAAAAAGCCUCAGAUUUAUAAGUUUCGUUUUGCUUAAUUCAAUCAAUAGAAUCAACAUGUUACCUGUGUCCUAUUCCUGGCACACGAAUCCCCUUUUUCUUCAUACCUUCAACAAACUCAUAAGGAAAACACUGAUCAUACAUACACUGUCAUGAGCAUCCUUAAAGUAGCGAGCAGCAUCAUCAAUGGCACCCCCAAAUCGAGGACCAAUCAUUAAAGGCAUGCAUGCAUGCUUGUAUGUAUGAUGAAUUUACCUGAUACAAGACAGGAAAUUAGGUCCUUCCCUGCCCUCGCUGUCACGAUAGUAUUAUGAGCUCCGGAGGCACAAGGACCAUGGUCGGCACAUAGCAUUAUGCACAUCUGACCAAUGUAAUGUAUCAUCAAGAUUCAAGUUUCAAAAGUUUGAUAUGAUGUGGGAACAACAGCUCCAGCGUCCUUUAGUGCCUGAUUCUUUGCUCGAGCAAACUCCAACUCACAACCACUUUUAUCUCCCUGAUUAUUAUGCAAGAGCCAUUGGACACUAAGAAUGUU